CCUACGGGAGGCAGCAGUAGGGAAUCUUCCACAAUGGACGAAAGUCUGAUGGAGCAACGCCACGUGAGUGAAGAAGGGUUUCGGCUCGUAAAGCUCUGUUGGUAGUGAAGAAAGAUAGAGGUAGUAACUGGCCUUUAUUUGACGGUAAUUACUUAGAAAGUCACGGCUAACUACGUGCCAGCAGCCGCGGUAAU
rnacentral:rRNA from 1 species